rnacentral:lncRNA from 1 species
GCUAUGACUUGAACUUGCACCGUAUAGCAAUACUCAAAGUAUACUCAAAAUACUCACAAGAAUACGCUCGAUAAUAUAGAGAGAGAAAACUUCAGUUUCUGGUGUGAUUUUCAAUUCUAACCUAAGCACCCUAUUUAUAGGAAAAUGCUUAGAACACCAAAGUAGAAAAUUUAAUAUAAUAAUAUUAUAUAUAUUACAAAUUCUGUACGCACAUUUUGACAACUGAUUUCAGCUUAUCUUGCACAUGCUAGGGCUACCCACAAAACAAAAUUUUUUU